AGAGGGGCAGAGAGACAGAGCAGGAGACAUAGAGACUUUAUUAAAACCAAACACUGUGGAGGCAGCUGCAGGCUGGGGAGCCCCCUCCCCUCGUACCCCGAAAAGGGUCCCCAGCAACUACUAUGCCCCAGGCCAGGAGCUCCUGAACCCCCCAGGGAGGAACCUGAGAGCCUGGGCGGAGGUGGGGAGGACUGAAGAUUCUGGGAAACCUAGGUGUGUGUAUGGGGGAGGAGGCCCGAAACUGGCGGGAAGUGAUGGGGCCGGUUGGCCUCCUCCUCCUUUCCCCUCCCAGUCUCUGAGCCCGAGUUCCUGGUCCCAGGAGGUCCCGUGACCCCAUUUCUAGGGGCUUCCCGGUCCCGGUUAACCAGGCCAAGUACCAAGUCAGAAUCCAGCCUCCCUGGCGUUAUCUGUGCGGAGACCUUGGGCUCAUCACCCCAGUGCGGGGGUCCCACUGACUCGGUGGUAAGGGCUUUCUCCCGGGGACAGCGCAGGAACGGGCAAAAUCAGUCCUUUUACGGAAGGAGAAGCCCGGCCUGUAAGAUGGGAAGUGACUUGUUGGGGUCACCCGGCAAGUAGGCGGGAGAGUUGGAUUCUAUCCUGCUCUGACUCCAGAACCUGCAUCCCCCACUCUGCCAGAGGUCAGACUCAGAUGGUGUCCCGGACUCCUGGCCCAACCACACAGAAACCUUGCUGUCCCCCAUCAUGAUUGUUUCUGUGAUUCCUCCAUCCACGCACAAAGCUCCGCUUCAUAAACUUUAACUCUUAUCGAGUAUCCCUUGUUGGAAGAAACCACAGUGGCUACUUCUUCUAUUCAAGAUACAUGAGGAUUUGUUGGCGGUACCUGUCUGUUUCUGAUGAACUACGACUUCUGGUUUUCCCCUAAAUAUGCCCACUUGGGUCUGGAAUUACACCAGACUGGCAAGGAGGAUUCAGAAACAUAAAUACACUCCGCAUUUCUGGCGUAACUAGGCGGUAUCUGAAAGGUCAAAGGAGGAAGAGCUACCAACACAGGAAAAGUCAAGGGAGUCCAGGCGGAA